rnacentral:rRNA from 1 species
UGGGGAAUCUUGCACAAUGGGGGCAACCCUGAUGCGGCGACGCCGCGUGAGCGAUGAAGCCCUUCGGGGCGUAAAGCUCUUUCGACCGGAACGAUAAUGACGGUACCGGGAGAAGAAGCUGCGGCUAACUAUGUGCCAGCAGCCGCGGUAAUACGUAGGCAGCAAGCGUUGUUCGGAGUUACUGGGCGUAAAGAGUGCGUAGGCGGUUUUCUAAGUUCGGUGUGAAAUCUCCCGGCUUAACUGGGAGGGUGCGCCGAAGACUGGGAAGCUGGAUUGUGGGAAAGGCAGGCGGAAUUCUUGGUGUAGCGGUGAAUUGCGUAGAUAUCAGGGGGAACACCGGCGGUGUAGACGGCUUGCUAGACCAUA